rnacentral:rRNA from 1 species
AUUGAACGCUGGCGGCAGGCUUAACACAUGCAAGUCGAGCGAGCGGCGGACGGGUGAGUAAUGUCUGGGAAACUGCCUGAUGGAGGGGGAUAACUACUGGAAACGGUAGCUAAUACCGCAUACCAUCAGAUGUGCCCAGAUGGGAUUAGCUAGUAGGUGGGGUAAGGGCUCACCUAGGCGACGAUCCCUAGCUGGUCUGAGAGGAUGACCAGCAAAACUGGAACGGGGACACGGUCCAGACUCCUACGGGGGGCAGCAGUGGGUAAUAUUGCAAAAGGGGCGCAAGCCUGAUGCAGCCAUGCCGCGUGUGUGAAAAAGGCCUUCGGGUUGUAAAGCACUUUCAGCGAGGAGGCGUUACUCGCGAAAGAAGCACCGGCUAACUCCGUGCCAGCGGCGGCGUAAUUC